CCAGACUCCUACGGGAGGCAGCAGUGAGGAAUAUUGGUCAAUGGGCUUACGCCUGAACCAGCCAAGUCGCGUGAGGGAAGACUGCCCUAUGGGUUGUAAACCUCUUUUGUCAGGGAGCAACGCCGGCUACGUGUAGCCGGACUGAGAGUACCUGAAGAAAAAGCAUCGGCUAACUCCGUGCCAGCAGCCGCGGUAAUACGUAGGUGGCGAGCGUUGUCCGGAAUAACUGGGCGUAAAGGGAGCGUAGGUGGUUGAUUAAGUUAAAUGUGAAAGCCCAGGGCUCAACUCUGGAACUGCAUUUAAUACUGGUCGGCUAGAGUACAGGAGGGGUAAACGGAAUUUCUAGUGUAGCGGUGAAAUGCGUAGAUAUUAGGAAGAACACCGGAGGCGAAGGCGGUUUACUGGACUGCAACUGACACUGAGGCUCGAAAGCGUGGGGAGCAAACAGGAUUAGAUACCCUAGUA
rnacentral:rRNA from 1 species